rnacentral:tRNA from 4 species
CGGGAUGUGGCUCAGCUUGGUAGAGCGCCUCGUUCGGGACGAGGAGGUCGGAGGUUCGAAUCCUCUCAUCCCGACCA